GACGAACGCUGGCGGCGUGCUUAACACAUGCAAGUCGAACGGAAAGGCCCUGCUUUUGUGGGGUGCUCGAGUGGCGAACGGGUGAGUAACACGUGAGUAACCUGCCCUUGACUUUGGGAUAACUUCAGGAAACUGGGGCUAAUACCGGAUAGGAGCCCCUGCUGCAUGGUGGGGGUUGGAAAGUUUCGGCGGUUGGGGAUGGACUCGCGGCUUAUCAGCUUGUUGGUGGGGUAGUGGCUUACCAAGGCUUUGACGGGUAGCCGGCCUGAGAGGGUGACCGGCGACAUUGGGACUGAGAUACGGCCCAGACUCCUACGGGAGGCAGCAGUGGGGAAUAUUGCACAAUGGGCGGAAGCCUGAUGCAGCAACGCCGCGUGCGGGAUGACGGCCUUCGGGUUGUAAACCGCUUUCGCCUGUGACGAAGCGUGAGUGACGGUAAUGGGUAAAGAAGCACCGGCUAACUACGUG
rnacentral:rRNA from 1 species